GUCCUAAGCUCUUCUAUGGAUUAAUUUAUUGGAUCCUCACAACAGAGCUAUGGAGAGAUAAAGCUGGAGUGCAGUGGUGUGAUCUUGGCUCGCUGCAACCUCUGCCUCCCGGGUUCAAGUGAUUCUCAUGCCUCAGCCUCCCGAGUAGCUGGGAUUAUAGGCACCUGCCACCAUUCCCGGCAGGUGCCAGUGAAGCCAUUGUUCCAGCUCACUCAGUGGGACUUGGGACAGGAAACAGGAGAUCUGGGGAGCUGGUGGGACGCUUACUAGCUACCUGACCUUGGAUGAAUGAUUCGUUCCUCCAGAGCUUCUGUUUCUUCACCUAUGAAAAGGGAGAAGAUGCCACCUCAUUCUAAGGAGCUGCAUGGGGACUAAAGGAAAAAUCUUGACACUCAAACGCAAUUUUCUGUUGUUACAGGGCCAAGGAGCUCUGGGCCUGAGAGGGGAAGAGUCUGGUCAGCAUUGCCCAGUAUUAUAGCUGGAUGUUUGCCCACCGGAACCUCAUGUUGAAAUUUGAUCCUCAAUGUUGGAGGGGUCAAGUAGUAAUGGACCCAGCACUGGGGGCUGAAUACCCUGGACAAAUUCACCCUGCUGUCUUCUGCUAGAGCUGGCUUCAGUACAGUGAGAUGUGAGAAGGAAGGCCUCUGGGGAGAUAUGGUGG
rnacentral:lncRNA from 1 species